rnacentral:rRNA from 1 species
AUUGAACGCUGGCGGCAGGCCUAACACAUGCAAGUCGAACGCGAAAGUCCUUCGGGAUGAGUAGAGUGGCGGACGGGUGAGUAACGCGUAGGAAUCUGUCCGGUAGUGGGGGAUAACGUUCCGAAAGGAACGCUAAUACCGCAUACGCCCCACGGGGGAAAGGGGGGGAUCCUUCGGGACCUCCCGCUAUCGGAGGAGCCUGCGUCGGAUUAGCUAGUUGGUAGGGUAAAGGCCUACCAAGGCGACGAUCCGUAGCCGGUCUGAGAGGAUGAUCAGCCACACCGGAACUGAGACACGGUCCGGACUCCUACGGGAGGCAGCAGUGGGGAAUAUUGCGCAAUGGGCGAAAGCCUGACGCAGCCAUGCCGCGUGUGUGAAGAAGGCCUUCGGGUUGUAAAGCACUUUCAGUGGGGAGGAAAGGGGGAUGGCGAAUACCCAUCACCGGUGACGCUACCCACAGAAGAAGCACCGGCUAAUUCCGUGCCAGCCGCCGCCGUAACAC